ACGAACGCUGGCGGCGUGCUUAACACCUGCAAGUCGAACGGAAAGGCCCUGCUUGCAGGGUACUCAAGUGGCGAACGGGUGAGUAACACGUGGGUGAUCUGCCCUGCACUUCGGGAUAAGCCUGGGAAACUGGGUCUAAUACCGGAUAGGAGCCAUUUUUAGUGUGAUGGUUGGAAAGUUUUUUCGGUGUAGGAUGAGCUCGCGGCCUAUCAGCUUGUUGGUGGGGUAAUGGCCUACCAAGGCGGCGACGGGUAGCCGGCCUGAGAGGGUGGACGGCCACAUUGGGACUGAGAUACGGCCCAGACUCCUACGGGAGGCAGCAGUGGGGAAUAUUGCACAAUGGGCGCAAGCCUGAUGCAGCGACGCCGCGUGGGGGAUGACGGCCUUCGGGUUGUAAACUCCUUUCGCUAGGGACGAAGCUUUUUGUGACGGUACCUAGAUAAGAAGCACCGGCUAACUACGUG
rnacentral:rRNA from 1 species